UCAGCCGUGGAUACUUGCAUUAGGGGAGGUUGACCCGGCUCUCCUUGCUCGUGCCCUUGGAGUUAAGGUGCCCCACCGAAGACAGAGUCAACGUCUGCAGAACCGUUCGGCUCACGAGAGAGCCAAGUCUCGUAGAGCACGGAUGUCUCUCGAGAAAUACUUUCUGGAGGUGAUUGAGGCUGCGGCAGAAAUGGGGAAACAGGGAGGAGAUGGAGGCGGGGGCGACGGCGGAGAUGGAAGCGGGGACGACGGCGGAGAUGGAAGCGGGGACGACGGCGGAGAUGGAGGCGGGGACGAUGGCGUCCUCGGUUGAUCGAAUAUCGUUUGUUUUACCAAUCUCAUGGCGUCGUUUUUCUUAAGACUUUGGAAUACUAGCAUGCAUUCACUUGUUUUAAUAAUACGCCAUUAAUA